GGAGCGACGAACCCGAGCUUGCUCGGGGGCAAAGCCGCGAACGGGUGAGUAACACGUGGGUAAUCUGCCCUGUUGAUUGGGACAACCCCGGGAAACCGGGGCUAAUACCAAAUGUGCUCACAUCUACAUCAGUAGGAGUGAGGAAAGGAGGCUUCGGCUUCCGCAACGGGAUGAGCCCGCGGCCCAUUAGCUUGUUGGUGGGGUAAUGGCCUACCAAGGCUUCGAUGGGUAGCUGGUCUGAGAGGACGAUCAGCCACACUGGGACUG
rnacentral:rRNA from 1 species